rnacentral:rRNA from 1 species
AACGAACGCUGGCGGCAGGCUUAACACAUGCAAGUCGAGCGCGUAGCAAUACGAGCGGCAGACGGGUGAGUAACGCGUGGGAAUCUACCCAACCCUACGGAAUAACGCAUGGAAACGUGUGCUAAUACCGUAUACGCCCUUUGGGGGAAAGAUUUAUCGGGGAUGGAUGAGCCCGCGUUGGAUUAGCUAGUUGGUGGGGUAAAGGCCUACCAAGGCGACGAUCCAUAGCUGGUCUGAGAGGAUGAUCAGCCACAUUGGGACUGAGACACGGCCCAAACUCCUACGGGAGGCAGCAGUGGGGAAUAUUGGACAAUGGGCGCAAGCCUGAUCCAGCCAUGCCGCGUGAGUGAUGAAGGCCCUAGGGUUGUAAAGCUCUUUCACCGGUGAAGAUAAUGACGGUAACCGGAGAAGAAGCCCUGGCUAACUUCGUGCCAGCAGCCGCGGUAAUGUGACUACUG